rnacentral:rRNA from 1 species
CAGUCGCCGCGGGAACACAGAGGGUGCGAGCGUUAAUCGGAUUUACUGGGCGUAAAGCGUGCGUAGGCGGCUUCUUAAGUCGGAUGUGAAAUCCCUGAGCUUAACUUAGGAAUUGCAUUCGAUACUGGGAAGCUAGAGUAUGGGAGAGGAUGGUAGAAUUCCAGGUGUAGCGGUGAAAUGCGUAGAGAUCUGGAGGAAUACCGAUGGCGAAGGCGGCCCCCUGGACAAAGACUGACGCUCAGGUGCGAAAGCGUGGGGAGCAAACAGGAUUAGAUACCCGUGUAGUCCCUGUCUCUUAUAC